rnacentral:rRNA from 1 species
AGAGUUUGAUCCUGGCUCAGGAUGAACGCUAGCUACAGGCUUAACACAUGCAAGUCGAGGGGAAACGACAUCGAAAGCUUGCUUUUGAUGGGCGUCGACCGGCGCACGGGUGAGUAACGCGUAUCCAACCUGCCCACCACUUGGGGAUAACCUUGCGAAAGUAAGACUAAUACCCAAUGAUAUCUCUAGAAGACAUCUGAAAGAGAUUAAAGAUUUAUCGGUGAUGGAUGGGGAUGCGUCUGAUUAGCUUGUUGGCGGGGUAACGGCCACAAGGCGACGAUCAGUAGGGGUUCUGAGAGGAAGGUCCCCCACAUUGGAACCUGAGACACGGUCCAAAACUCCUAACGGGAGGCCA